AAGCCAGCCAAUAAGUCUGCCUACCUGAAUGUGUUUCUACAGAAAUUUAGAGAAAGCUGGCAAUAGUAAAGCCACAUUUCAAGGGUUAAAGACAUUGAAGUCAUUAAGGUCCCUGAAAAUGGCUAUAAGA